rnacentral:rRNA from 1 species
CUAAGCAUUUAAGCUUUCCUUUGUCAGUCUUGUUUGAUCUUGGAAGCUAAGUUGAAUUAGUACUUGAAUGGGAGUCCACCUGGGAACACAAAGUGCUCUGA